CUCCUACGGGAGGCAGCAGUGGGGAAUUUUGCGCAAUGGGGGAAACCCUGACGCAGCAACGCCGCGUGGAGGAUGAAAUAUCUUGGUAUGUAAACUCCUUUCGAUGGGGAAGAUUAUGACGGUACCCACUACGAAGAAGCCCGGCUAACUUCGUGCCAGCAGCCGCGGUAAUAC
rnacentral:rRNA from 1 species